rnacentral:lncRNA from 13 species
AGAGAGUAAGACAAUCUGGGUUCAAAUUCUAAUUCCAUCACUUCCCAGUCGUGUAAUCUUGGGCAAGUCGCAGGUUGGCACCCAGCUCAUGGGGUGCUGCGUGAGAGGUGAAUGGAGCCAGUCUGUGAGGGUUCAGUGCAGUGCCGGGACAGUGUCCAUGUUGGCUGGGCGUGAGCCAUGCUUCCCUUCUGCAAUCACAUUAACCCAGCUCACAGCUGAGCCAACCCCCCCUGGCAGGGAGCGUUCUGUCACCUAGAGGAUUGUCUUGCCCUCCUCUCUCGGCCUUUCUGACUUGGAGCUAGUGUGCUGACUGUGCUCAUCUCAGAAAACCCAUAUGGUAUUCAGCUCCUUGCCAAUCUCACUUUGAACUGGGGGAAAUUUUUGGAUUUUUCUGAAAUAGUAGGAGAGGCCAUUACAGCUUUGGUGAAUCAAGGCUGGCAAGAUGUUGGCAGAGCCUCUGAGGAUCUGUCUCUCCCCUUUGCCAUGUCCACCUCUCCUUCCCUGGGCUGUUAUGACGAACUCCUCACAUCUGGAGACUUCACAAGGACCUGCUGCCUGACACACGGCACCCGAUCGGCUGGUGCCACACUGGGGAGGGUCGACUGCUUUACUCGGCCACCGAUUCAAACGCUGACAUCAUCCCUAAGCACCGUCACAGAAAAACCCAGAAGUUCCUAGAUGGGAGCUGGUCAACAGAAACACCAAGCCGUGUUUAGAAGGUUGGAACUUUAAGCCCCAACCCCCAUUCUCUGGAAUGUGGAGAGGGGCUGGCGGUUGUGUUAAUAAUCCAUCAUGCCUGUAUGAUGAAGUCUCCAUAAAAGUCCC